CUCCCCACAAAUGCUGGUUGUUGCAGACUAGAGGAGCGCAUGCGUGAGGCCCUCUCCCAGCGCUGCCAUUGAGGAGUAUUUACUCAGUGAGUGGAAGAGGUUUGUUUGAAACAGACCGCAAUGGAGAGACCAGCAGGUUCUUUCCAGCAACAUAUCGAGGAAAAUACUCGAAGGACCAAGAUGAUGUAAUAUUUUGUCGGUGCAAAGCCAAGUGUGAGCAGCUGCUUCUAACUAACAGCAGGCAAAUACUUGAAGGACUAAGAGAAAGUGAUAUUCCCUCAGUCCAAAGCCAAGUGUGACCAACAGAUUCUAACAAACAAGGUAUUUUACCGCUGUCAGAGCAGAGAACAUCCUUCCCACAGGUGCAGAGCAGAUUGAAUCAGACAUACAUUGAAGUCAAUUUCCAGCGAGAUAUGCUCAAACAACACAGAGGAAAUACAAGUUUUUUUUUUUUUUUUGUUUUUUCACCAUUCACAAUGCACACCUGCCCAGUUUGAACAAAUUUCCGCAUUUCAAGUUUGGCAAAGAUCUGCAGCUCGGGUAGUUGCUGGGAUAAUGUUGCUGACUUGCUCGCUGAGCUGGCUUGUUUUUGUUCAGAAGUUUUCAUCACCAUGCUCGGUGACAUCAUCAGUGGAGCCUCUGAUGAAGUGAUGUGUUCUGCUCCACGUGGAAUUUAUACUGUCUGGUCCGUUAUGAUCUCCUCGCGGGUUGCUGAAGCUUUUUGCUGUCGGGGAGAUACUUUGAAAAUGAGCCGAGAUAAAACCAGAACAGCUGCUGGACUGACAUAGUAAAUGUGGAGCUUUUGCUGAACUCUGAUCGAGUGCAAUAAGGGAGGGCCGCUUUUAAAUAUUCUCGAAAAACGGUGUCCGCAAUUAAGGCGCUCACCUGGAAGAACGUUAUCAAAUGUUUUAUCAACUUAUCGGGUGUUUUUGAAAUGCGAAAUAAAUUAGUUGCAGAGUGCA